rnacentral:rRNA from 1 species
UACGUAGGGUGCAAGCGUUGUCCGGAAUUAUUGGGCGUAAAGAGCUCGUAGGCGGUCUGUCGCGUCGGCUGUGAAAUCCCGAGGCUCAACCUCGGGUCUGCAGUCGAUACGGGCAAACUUGAGUGUUGCAGGGGAGACUGGAAUUCCUGGUGUAGCGGUGAAAUGCGCAGAUAUCAGGAGGAACACCGGUGGCGCAGGCGACUCGCUGGGCUGUAACUGACGCUGAGGAACGAAAGCUAGGGGAGCAAAUGGG